rnacentral:rRNA from 1 species
UACGAAGGGGGCUAGCGUUGCUCGGAAUCACUGGGCGUAAAGGGUGCGUAGGCGGGUCUUUAAGUCAGGGGUGAAAUCCUGGAGCUCAACUCCAGAACUGCCUUUGAUACUGAAGAUCUUGAGUUCGGGAGAGGUGAGUGGAACUGCGAGUGUAGAGGUGAAAUUCGUAGAUAUUGGGAAGAACACCGGUGGCGAAGGCGGCUAUCUGGCCCGUAAUUGACGCUGAGGCGCGAAAGCGUGGGGAGCAAACAGG